rnacentral:lncRNA from 1 species
UAUAUGGGACAUUCACGCAUAAAGCAAACAAGUUGCCAUCUACAUGGGUGAAGCAUUCAAAUAGCAAGUCAUGUGCAAGAAGGAUUCCUUUAAAGACCACAAACUCUCAGAAUUUAGAAGGUAUACCCAAAGAAGACUCCUAACACACGAAGGAUCCAUGGAAGAGAAGUUUUCAAGCCACACAUGUGAGGGAGAUGGAAUCUGAGGAGGAAUCCUCAAUCUUAUCCCUUUUCAUGUGUUCCGUAUGAUGAAAACUCAAGAAGACUUCAACUCAAAUGUGGAAUCCAAGUGGAUAAGAUCACAU